CACUCGCCCUUCUUUCCCUUCCCUCCACCCCCUCCUUUUUGUACCCCGGCAGCGCACCCUACGAAUACCAACCAACAGCCGCCUGAAUUGGGAUUUAUUUCCCUUUUUUUUUUUUUUUUCAUUUAUCCCAUAAUGACCUCCCUACCCGCAUCGGAGCGCGUUCCCCCAAGCACCACCGCACUGGUCAUCGCAACCGCCAUCCUAGCCGGAGUCGUGGGCUUCUUUAUUGGGCAGGGAGCGUCGUUGGGGAUUUUUGGAUCGGGGUCCGGGUCUCGAUCUGCGGCUGCGUCUGCGUCUGCGUCUGCGAGAGGAGGGGGUAGAAGGGAUGGUAAGGAGG
rnacentral:sRNA from 2 species